rnacentral:lncRNA from 10 species
CCAAAGGAGGGUAGGCGGGAGGGCGCUGAUGGCUUUUCCAGAGAGGAAGCAGGGGAAGGUGCCAGGAAGAGAUAAGGCCUGUCCUGAUCCAGGAACCUCCAAGCCUUUUGCCUGGUCUCCAGGCUCCUAGACUCUCCUGCCUUGAAUCCACCCUCCAAAAGGACUGGGAGCCCCAGCAGGACAGGACUGGAACCAUCGUGGUCACUGUUGUGUCUCCUGCACCACCCAACACCAGGCCAGGCAUAGAGGAGAUUUUGUUCAAUGCAACUGUUUGUUCAAUGUCAUUCAUUCAAUAAAUAUUUACAGAGCACCAAUUCUGUUCCGGGCACUGGGGAUAAAUCAGUGAAGGAAUUCAAAGAGCCCUGAUUGGC